GACGUAGGGGGCCAGCGUUGUUCGGAAUUACUGGGUGUAAAGGGUUCGUAGGCGGUGCGGCAAGUUGGGAGUGAAAUCUCUGGGCUUAACCCAGAGGCUGCUUCCAAAACUGCUGUGCUCGAGUGUGAGAGAGGCGCGUGGAAUUGCAGGUGUAGCGGUGAAAUGCGUAGAUAUCUGCAGGAACACCCGUGGCGAAAGCGGCGCGCUGGAUCACUACUGACGCUGAGGAACGAAAGCUAGGGGAGCAAACAGG
rnacentral:rRNA from 1 species